rnacentral:rRNA from 1 species
UACGGAGGGUGCAAGCGUUAAUCGGAAUUACUGGGCGUAAAGCGUGCGCAGGCGGUUUGUUAAGUCCGUUGUGAAAGCCCCGAGCUCAACUUGGGAAUUGCAGUGGAUACUGGCAGGCUGGAGUACGUUAGAGGAAGGUGGAAUUCCCGGUGUAGCAGUGAAAUUCGUAGAUAUUCGGAAGAACACCAGUGGCGAACGCGACUUACUGGUCCAUUACUGACGCUGAGGCUCGAAAGCGUGGGGAGCAAACAGG